CUCAGCUUGUCCCCAGAUUUCCUGAUUUCCAGUCAAGUGCUUGGACCACCUUGAACACAGUCUCCCUGGGUGUCCAGAUGAGAAGCCCCUUCCACCCAGGGGUGCUGUGAAUCUGAUUGAGUGUGUGCCAGGCAGGCUUCCUCCCUGGGUGUGUUUGCAGACAUGCACCCCCACUCUGGUUGAUUUACUGAGUCUUAGGAUUCCCCAGGAUGGGGUCAUCAAGAGGGCCCAGUGGCCGGGGGUAGCAGCACUUCACGUGCAUUGGGGUCUUGAUGGGCGUUGGUGAGGAUACUUUAUAGUCAGGUAGCAGCAGGAGCCCAGGGUGUCUCCCAAAUGGCCUCUGCUCCCCUAGAAGCACCCAUCCAGGUUCCAGCAUGGCUGGCUGGGGUCCCCAGGGGUUCUGGGCCAAGCAGUGCUAACCUCUGCAGUGGGCAGCUACCACCUCUCACGUCACCUGCAUGGUGUCAGGGAAAGAGCCCGGGACUCAGGAGAUUCAGGUCCCUGCCCCUCCCUGCCAUCCAUGCUGACCCCCCGGCCGGCCUGGCACUUCACCUCGGGUUCUAGGUUCGUAAUGUUGGAGGACUAAACCGGUAGAUCUUGCAGGUUUUGAGAUUGUUCCCUCUUAUUUCCAUCAGGGUACGAUGGUGUUUAUAUUGCAUCCUGGUGUUAGCUAAAUCAGUAGAGCUAAAACCAGGGUCAGGGAGAGAUGCUCUUCAAGGCACCCGGCCUGUUCAGAUGGUUACAGUCGCAAAGUGAAGAAUAAAGAGAUAGAAGAACUCACCAAGAUUUGUGAUGAACUGAUUGCCAAAAUGGGGAAAAGCUAACUUUGAACCAAAUGUUUGGACUUUGACCAUUGCGUGCAAUAUGACCGUCGGCACACUGCUGUCCCUCUGGUUAUGUGGACGGGUUCUGUUUUCACUUUUUCGUAUGCACUACUGUAUUUCCUUUCUAAAUAAAGUUGAUUUGAUUAUAUGCAGUACUAAGGAGACUAUCAGAAUUUCUUGCUAUUGGUUUGCAUUUUCCUAGUAUAAUUCAUAGCAAGUUGACCUCAGAGUUCCUGUAUCAGGGAGAUUGUCUGAUUCUCUAAUAAAAGACAAAUCGCUGACCUUGGCCUUGCCCUUUGUACAUGAGUUUCCAGGGUGAGCGGCUUUUGGAUUUAAUAUGAUCAUGUACAGCUUGCAAAGGGACUCUUGCCUUAAGGAGUGUAAACUUGAUCUGCAUUUGCUGAUUUGUUUUAAAAAAAAAAAGAAAAUGCAUGUUUCAAAUAAAAUUCUCUAUUGUAAAUAAAUUUUUUUCUUUGGAUCUUGGCAA